rnacentral:rRNA from 1 species
CCUACGGGAGGCAGCAGUGGGGAAUAUUGGACAAUGGGCGAAAGCCUGAUCCAGCCAUGCCGCGUGUGUGAAGAAGGCCUUCGGGUUGUAAAGCACUUUCAGUGGGGAAGAAAGCCUUGGGGCUAAUACCCUCGAGGAAGGACAUCACCCACAGAAGAAGCACCGGCUAACUCCGUGCCAGCAGCCGCGGUAAUACGGAGGGUGCGAGCGUUAAUCGGAAUUACUGGGCGUAAGGCGCGCGUAGGCGGUCUGAUAAGCCGGUUGUGAAAGCCCCGGGCUCAACCUGGGAACGGCAUCCGGAACUGUCAGGCUAGAGUGCAGGAGAGGAAGGUAGAAUUCCCGGUGUAGCGGUGAAAUGCGUAGAGAUCGGGAGGAAUACCAGUGGCGAAGGCGGCCUUCUGGACUGACACUGACGCUGAGGUGCGAAAGCGUGGGUAGCAAACAGGAUUAGAUACCCUUGUAGUC